GUUAGUCCGCACGAGCGCACCCUCACUUUUAGUUGCCAUCAUUUAGUUGGGCACUCUGAAAGAACUGACAGUGAUAAGCUGGAGGAAGGUGGGGAUGACGUCAAGUCCUCAUGGCCCUUACGUGUUGGGCUACACACGUGCUACAAUGGUAUCUACAACAGGAAGCAAGACGGCGACGUCAAGCAAAUCCUUAAAAGAUACCUCAGUUCGGAUUGCACUCUGCAACUCGAGUGCAUGAAGCUGGAAUUACUAGUAAUCGUGGAUCAGCGUGCCACGGUGAAUGCGUUCCCGGGUCUU
rnacentral:rRNA from 1 species